UACGUAGGGGGCAAGCGUUGUCCGGAAUCAUUGGGCGUAAAGCGCGUGUAGGCGGCCAGAUAAGUCCGCUGUGAAAUCUCGAGGCUCAACUUCGAGCUGUCGGUGGAAACUGUCUGGCUAGAGUCCGGAAGAGGAGAAUGGAAUUCCUGGUGUAGCGGUGAAAUGCGCAGAUAUCAGGAAGAACACCCGUGGCGAAGGCGGUUCUCUGGGACGGUACUGACGCUGAGACGCGAAAGCGUGGGGAGCGGACAGG
rnacentral:rRNA from 1 species